rnacentral:snoRNA from 1 species
AUGAGGACGACUUGCCCCCUAUCGAUUAAUGAGAUCUAUUCCGCGGACUGA